rnacentral:misc_RNA from 1 species
GUGCAUCGAACGGUGGGCAUGCUAUCCUUUUUGUUGUCACCAAGUGCCAUGUAGCAUUUUGGUGUUUCCUUUUCGAGUUCCUGUGUUGCCUACCUUUGAAAUGGUAUUUGAAUGGUUUGGAAUAUUUUUUCCAUCCAGAUCUCUGUGGGAUGAUGGUGGAUUUUGAUGCAACGCAUGUGUUCCCCAUUAGGUUUGCAUUAUGCAUCUUUUGUGGGUACGUAUGCUGUUGUUGUCCUUUUGGAUGCAAUGCAUGCAAUGAACGUCGGUUUAACUGUCCCGUUUAGUUCCUAAAUUUUUGGUUGCCUUCGAAUGACAUUUGCCUUGGUGCAUGUUUUGUUUUCCUCUUAAGGUCACAACACUUGCACCUUGCGCAUGGUCAUUAAUGGGUGCUA